rfam:Rattus norvegicus chromosome 8, whole genome shotgun sequence.
GGGGAUUUAGCUCAGCGGUAGAGCGCUUGCCUAGCGAGCACAAGGCCCUGGGUUCGGUCCCCAGCUCCG